AAGGAAUCCUAAGAGGCACAAUUUUUCAAAAUGCUACAAGCUAGUAGAUGAUAUGGAAGAAUAAAACACAUGAUCAGAAAGUAAAGAAAGCUGACGUGGAAGAAAAGAAGAAAAAGAUGCAAGCAAUUGGAUCAAUUCAGAGAAACCGUAUCAGUGCAAUCGGGGAUAGGUGGGGAACAGUGAUCUGCAAUUCCAUCUAUUCUAAUAAACAUGAGUGGGAAAAAGUUGAGUAUUCUUUUGUAUAGUGGUGGCUAAAGACUAUCCAAGUAAAUAUAAAGCCAGAAGAAAAUUAGGACUGAGGCUGUAACAUUCAUCUAUGAUUCUCUGUCUAUAUCUUUGUGUGGGUAGAUUUUGUAUAACUUAGGCCAGAAUAAGGAACCAUUUUAUAAAUGCAUAAGAGACUUCCCACGUGGCACUAGUGGUAAAGAGCCUGCCUGAAUGCAGGUUAGAUAUGAGACGUGGGUUCAAUCCCUGGGUUGGGAAGAUCCCUUGGAGGAGGGCACUGCAACCCGCUCUAGUAUUCUUGCCUGGAGAAUCCUGUGGACAGAGGAGCCUGGUGGGCUAUAGUUUGUAGAGUUGCAAAGAGUUGUACAUGACUGAAGUGACUUAGGAUGCAAGCAAGAAUGGCUUAAGGACCUCCCUGGUGGCUGAAUAGAGUAUGCCUGCUAGUGCAGGAGGCACAGGGGAUUUGGAUUCAAUCCCUGGGUCAGGAAGAUCCCCUGGAGGAGGAAAUGGCAACCCAUCCA
ensembl:lncRNA